GAUGAACGCUGGCGGCGUGCCUAAUACAUGCACGUCGAGCGAACAGACUAGGAGCUUGCUCCUCUCACGUUAGCGGCGGACGGGUGAGUAACACGUGGAUAACCUACCUAUAAGACUGCGAUAACUUCGGCCAACCGACGCUAAUACCUGAUCAUAUAUUGAACCGCAUGGUUCAAUAGUGAAAGACGGUUUUGCUGUCACUUAUAGAUGGAUCCGCGCCGCAUUAACUAGUUGGUAAGGUGACGGCUUACCAAGGCAACGAUGCGUAGCCGACGUGAGAGGGGGACAGGCCACCUGGGAACUGGGAGCAGGUCCAGACUCCUACGGGACGCAACAGCAGGGAACCUUCCGCAAUGGGCGAAAGCCUUCCGGAGCAACGCCGAGUGAGUGAUGAAGGUCUUCGGAUCGUAAAACUCUGUUAUUAGGGAAGAACAAAUGUGUAAGUAACUAUGCACGUCUUGACGGUACCUAAUCAGAAAGCCACGGCUAACUACGUG
rnacentral:rRNA from 1 species